rnacentral:rRNA from 1 species
GAUGAACGCUGGCGGCGUGCCUAAUACAUGCAAGUCGAGCGAACAGAUGCGGAGCUUGCUCCUCUGACGUUAGCGGCGGACGGGGGAGUAACACGUGGAUAACCUACCUAUACGUCUGGGAUAACUUCGGGCAACCGGAGCUAAUACCGGAUAAUAUAAUGAACCGCAUGGUUCAAUAGUGAAAGACGGUUUUGCUGUCACUUAUAGAUGGGUCCGCGCCGCAUUAGCUAGUUGGUAAGGUAACGGCUUACCAAGGCAACGAUGCGUAGCCGACCUGAGAGGGUGAGCGGCCACACUGGAACUGAGACACGGUCCAGACUCCUACGGGAGGCAGCAGUAGGGAAUCUUCCGCAAUGGGCGAAAGCUUGACGGAGCAACGCCGCGUGAGUGAUGAAGGUCUUCGGAUCGUAAAGCUCUGUUAUUAGGGAAGAACAAAUGUGUAAGUAACUAUGCACGUCUUGACGGUACCUAAUCAGAAAGCCACGGCUAACUACGUG